GGCGCGAACCGGCCGCAGGUCCAGUUUACUGUAAAAUGGAGACAUCGGCGAGAUUUCGGCAGCUGAAGACAGUGAAACUAAGCUGCGAAGCCACGUAUCGGUUGGACAUCAGCUUCAAACCUCCGCAACUAUUAGAAUUUGACAGAAAUGUGCAUCACUCGGGUGAAGGGCAAACGGAUAUUUAUUCCGUGAAUACGAUCUACGUUUCAAUUUCAUUGUCUUCAAAAUUCGUGGAGAAUUUUCAUUGUCUUAAGGGUCGUAUACUUGAUUAAUCCGAAUCACGCAAUAUAGCGGUAGACUUUACGUGGGUUAGAUUAAUUAACGAGCAUUCUAAUUAUUAUAUGCGUACUGCGUUCCUUUGCUACCGAGUUUCGAAACUUGACGGAAGAAAUAAAAAUACGAAGAAGACUAUUCGCGAGAUUCGGAGUAUAAAAUUGUACUGUCUUAUUUCACUUACAUUAUCACCGUAACAAUUACUGUAUUAUUAUUAGCUUAGAUCUCGUAGUUGGAUAUUCAUUUUAUAAAUAAAAAAAUUUGAUCGAUAUUUGAAUUCAGUAUAAAGAGAAAGAUAAACCAUUUAUAAUAAUUCCCUCCUUAAAUCUUUCCAGUCUGUCAACUGCAAAACGAAUUAUUAUAUCGAAUACAAUACGGCGGAAAAUAAAGAACGAUACAAGAAAGAAUGAAAAUAAAGACAUUGAGAUACGAAGAACAUCGAAAAAAUAAGUUAUUUGUACACCGUGCUUGGGAAUAAAUACGAUGUGUACCACGCGAAAAUACGAAAAAGCCAUAUCAUCCGCGUCAUUUACGUUUUAACAAUUUCCACCAGCGAGAAGCUUUCGAAAAUUCCAAAAUUUAUAUCCACCAACGUUGGAAUUUUUCGCGCAGAAUUUUUCGUUUUGGAAACGCCGAGAGCUAUUCUACGAGACGAUAAAAUGCCUAGGAAAUCCGUCGAUAUAUCGGUACGAACAGUUACAUCGAGUCGGCGCGACUGUAUCUUCUUCUCUCCUGUCUGGCAGAUUCAAUAUUCCCAAUAACACUCGACCUUUGAAAGUUGAUUACCUGCGUUACGUUUUGCCACGGCCGAGGACUUUAAUCUUUACGUACAUGUACAAACUUAUCGAAAGUUUUCGUUUCUGGCAAAAGCUCGAUCGGAUUCUCGAUAACUGUGGAUGCUCGUGACUCGCGUCAAUAAACAUUCAGCAGCGGCCGCUGCAAAGGCACUGCACUGGUUGCGCGAACGAUGAAAAAAGGGAUAUACACGUUCGUUGGGGAAAAAGCUUAUUUACAAAAUCCUCGAGAAAGAGCGAGACGUUAUCUGUACAGGCGUCUGUUCCAACUAUUUUUCAUCACCUAUCCGAGGAGGCCACUUUCCACGUCGGAUAAGUUUAAAUUUACCGCUUGAAAGAGCCGUUCUGAAAAUAAUUUUGCCCCAACUUUUCCUUGCUCCAAUUAAUAUCUCGGAUUGAAAAUUUACUCCACUACCUUCAUUUUCUCUCUUUUCUCUCUUUUCAUUUCUAUUUAUGCGACGUUACAGCGUCUGAUUUAUUUUUGCAUUCGUUGGCUAAUAUCAUAGGAAUGGAAAUUUUGCGUGUCCAUCCAUUGGGAAUGACUGACAAGAAAUGAGGUUCAGCUGGUUGCAGUCUAGUUGAAACUUUGCACGCCGACAGAUAGACCGUAGAUUUACGUGUUGUAUAUGUUACUACGACUUCAUAUUUUUACGAAGACAAGUAGCAAUUCAAGAGUAUCGUGUGACAAUGUGCCAUAAAAUGCAAAAUUCUGCACUAUGUACCGUGGCUCACGAACGUAUUUGAACACUUAUAGAAACUUUUUAUGAACGUAUUAUGUGCAUUACGACUUAAAUGGUUGGAAAUGCUUGAAAAAAAAACAAGCGAGGAACGAAACAGGCAUUUGUUAACCAUUGAACUUGCAGAAGCAGUUAAAACUUUUACGAUAUCGAGCUAGCAAUUCGUAGCUACUCAUCGACUUUCUCUUCAGCCUACUUAUCGAACAAAGCGAGCGGAGCGGCGAACGAAGAUCAGUAGUAACAAGACUGAUAAGUCAGACGAUCACAAAGCAUCCGAUUGAGAAACACUACUACGGAGUAUAAUAUAAUAUACAUAUACAUAAUACAUGCACAAUACACGUUCAAUUCUAAUCUUUAAUUCGUUAAUUUUUCUAAUUCUUGAUAAUUUUCUAAUACGUUCGUUAGCAUCGUUAUAUGUGCAAAUUAUGUUCGAAGAUUGUAAGGGAAGAGCACGAUAAGUCACAUUUCAUAUUUUUAGAGAGAAGCAAUUUUAAGAUUGAAGACGUAGUCAAUCGAUCCUAUAUCGGCAAAAUUGUCUGUAUUUUUAGUUUCGCAGCUAAACGUGCGUUUUCUCGUCUCUUCCUAAAUUUUCAAGAUAUUCGUCGUCAUUAUGUUACAACAUCGAAGAUAUUAAAAUAUUGCCUUAUUGGUCUUAACAAUUAUAUUUUUCGGGUCCGUACAAAUGUCAAGUUCAAAUUGAAAUUCAGUAGCUAUACAAAUUAAUGAAAACCGAUUGAUUCUUCACAAGGAUUGAUCGAUCUUUUCCGAUACGACGAUAUAUUCUUAAGGCGAAUGCAGCGCCUGAUUAAAAGAAUUGGGAAUUCCUCUGCAAGCGUAUCGCUAGGUAGAAAGCGGCUGGAACGUUGAUUAAAUCUAUAAAACGCGUCUCACGAAGAAAUUUAGGAGAAUCACGUAUUUAUAAGGUGGAUGCAUGGAAAAAAGAUCUGGUAGCGAGGUAGUGCAAAGACACACUGGCCUGACAGCGAUAUACAACGGUGCAAGAAACCGGGUCACGGAAUAAAAAAUAUUCCACUUUCAAAAGUACUAUAGACUGGUAGAACUAGAACAACAGCUUACUUUCAUGUGGUCCAUGACAUCGGUUAAUCGAUGUAAAACAGAAGGAAAAGGGAACGUCAAAUGGGUCAAACAGAAGUCUUAUACGAACUUCAUCCCAAUUUCAUCCGAGUUUCGUUAACUUCUUACGCGAAUAAUUCAUUCUAUCGUGUAAUUCUGUGCAUUCCUAUUUUCAAAUUCGUAUCGCGUACGACGUAAAUUACAAAGCAGCACGUUUGCAUAUUCAUGUUCCUUUUAAGCGAAAUAUAUUUUUAUCAAGCUUCGCGUUUUAUUCGCACGCUACUAAAUUCUUGUAGUUGCGUAAAAAUAAUUACGUGUUAACCGCGUUCAUAGUCGGAGAAUGAAAAUGUGCUUUAGAAAAGCAAUAUACAUGUAUCAUGACUGGGAAUUACGUUGACCCAUAACAUGAGUCAUGGGGCAGUGGAACGUGCUAAAAGAUAGAAAAUUUCGCAUGCAUCUGAUUAAUUGACACGCAAAUACCACGAUAUGUAUGGUCGCAUGCGAAACAGAGUAAAUUCUUUUUUUAGCCGUUUUAAUAUUUAAAUCACGUAAUAAUUAAACCUUCAGGUAUGAUUACUCAAGUAUAAUUAUUCGUAACUAUAUUUAGCCCUGAAGUCAUGUAAAUCGUGUUCCGUUUUAAACGUAAAAUAAGAUACAUUCGUCAAAUUUUCGAUUUACCUAACGCUGAGUGUGGCGUUGCAAGUAUUUGUACAGAGGAUCGUCUCUAUUUAUCGUCGACGUGAGUCAGCGAUUUUCGCGAGUCUUUGUUAGGAAAUCGCAUCCCUCCGGAAAGUGCAACUGUCGGCACUGCUUAGAAGUUCGAUUAACAGCGUAUAUCCCUUGGUGGGCUGCUAUCGAAACUUUUGUCGCAAAUUUCCACCCGAACGUACACACGUCUGAACAAACGUGCCUAUUUUUCGAAGGUCUCUCUUUCAUCUCGCCUCUUUCAAUGCCGACUGUUCCUACUUUAUUUCGCGAACACAGCAAGGAAGAGGAGAGUAAACGAAGAAGAAGAAGAGAGGAAAGAGGCGAGGAGGAAAAAGGAAGAAAGUAAAGAGACUAAAAAUACAAGAUUGCGAAUGGCUUUUUGUUUUACAGACGGAUUGCCUUUUAAAAGGGAAGCUUCGUCCCAUUGGCUUUUUCCUCUCGCCUCUCUUUAUUUCUGUCUCUCUGUCAGAUUCGCGCGCCGCCGCUAAAUUCGCUAAUUGGGAACCUUUUUUGUCGGAGAUUCGUGUUGUCCGAUCGAUUUAAGUACGUGCAGCCAAUUAUCCCACGAGCUAUCGAACGUGGCUACAGUUUAAUUUGAAAGAGCUGUACGUACGGUUUUUGCUGAUUCUAUCCCUGUUUGAAAACUGGGGGGAAAAAGAAAAAAGAAGAAAACACGAAAUCUACGUUGGAAUUUUUGGUAUUAUCUUUGGCAAUAAUUUUGCAAACAGAUUCGUUCUCCGGAACAAACAGUAACAAAUAGUAACAUAAAGAUUUUGAUAUACGGUGGAUUACGAAAAUAUUUCAACGCUCACCAUAGGAAACUUUUACACGUAUAGAGUGUGUGUUACAUAAAACAAUUGGAAACUUUAUUAGCUCUGUAACGAGACACGACCGUCGUGAUCAUAUUGGUGAAAUUUGGAACCAAUAUGAAAAUGUAAGCAAAAGUUACGAGAUAAUAUAUAUUAGUGAAAGAUUUUUUACAAGUAUUCGACAAGUGUACUUCCGUGAGCUGCUUUAUAUACAAUAGUUUUAUAACAAAUUAAUAGAUGAUAACUAUAAGUAAAAUAAUCUUGGAUGAAACGUAUACACGUAUAAUGAGCAUGCUGAAUAAUACUGCGUCUGCCUAUAAAAACGGAAUGAGAAAACGUUGCUUAUAAACCGCGGUAUAAUGCCAAGGGAGACGUUCCAGGGUUGGGAAACUUAUUGUCCUACUUUUUCGCGUAGCCCUUUGAAUCACAUAAAUUUCGAACAACAAGUAUAAUAUGCGCGGCAGGUAAUCUCGCCAUAGAAAGUUGGAUUUUCAACGUAACAUCGUGUUAAAUUGAUGCAAUAUCGAACAGAAUGUUCCAGUCUCUGUCCACUUAAUCGACCCAAAACAGUGUCCAUUUAAUUGCUUUCUACAUGAGUAAUAAGCUUGCAGUAUAAUACUGCUACAAUCGAAUAGCAUAAAGCAGAGUCAAUUGCUGAAGAUUCAAUACAGCCGAGGUAAUAGCGUGCCAACGAUUUAGGUCGCGACUAGUAAACCUCAUAACCGCGAAACAGUUGGACGAAUUAAUUAAAGUCUCAUCUUGGUGGCGUGUUCGGAAUGUUAGUGGCGUAAUCGAAACGGAAAAGCGCGUCGAAUUACGAGCAAGAUGUUUUCCGCUGGUGAAGUGAAAAUAUAUUUCUUCCGAAAAUUGCACGUGAUCUAUCAAAGUCGUCGCUUUGGGAUUCGCUCCCUCUCUCUCUCUCUUUUUCUCUCUCUCCCUCGCCUGAUACGUAUGCAUGCACUUUAUUCGGCGGAGUCGAUUUCCGGGGGAAACGCGCGCGUGGAUGGAAAGCUAACAGAGCCAGAUAGUUCUACUUUAAAUCGAACGCUCCUAUACCUCGGAGGAUCUUAUCUGGCGCGCGAUGUAUAUCGUAACUUUCUAAUUCCGCUUACAAAGUCGGUUACAAAUGCACAAUACGAACUUAAGCGCGUUAAAUGAACACCCUGUGUUUCGUUCCGCGAACCAAACAAAAUUGGCCUGUAUCGAAAAAGAAAACGAGGUACGACGAACAAAGAAUUUCCUGAAUAGAGAAGCAGAAAAGCCGUUUCCGCUGUUUGCGAGUUUGUCAGAGGGAUUAUUUUCAAUGCGAUGGAACUUCUCUUCUCGUUGUUGGUGUUUUUUUUAACUCUCGUCACUGAGGCAGAAAGGAAGCGAAGUCUCCACCAGAUGAUCAUCCGAGAGCAAAGCAGGCCAACUCCACUGCGUGUCUAAGGAUCGAACGGAACGGUAUCACGAUCGUUAAAGUGGAGACUCUGGCUAGAUUUUGUUCGAUUUCGUCUUGAGGGAAUUUUGCUUGCACGCGAAACUCUGAAUUAGUUAGCGUACGACGAGAACACUCGAAUCGUGCUUUCGAAUCGUGGCGAGUCGAUCACGGACGGGGCUUUCAUCGUUAAAAAUCAACCAGAAAUAUCUACUUUUAGUAUUUAAUGCAGAGAAUGGCUUACCGUUGCAUGUCUCGAGUGAAACGGAGAAUUUUUUACCUCGUUGCCUGCUAUCAGUCCAACGUAUCUCCACCCUUAUCGGUGCCACGCGUUCCUUUUUCAACUUUCACCAACAAUCGUUCUUGGUCAUUUCCUUUAAGCCGUACUACCUCGGUUUUCCUCCAGGAUAAGAGAAAUCGGGGAAACUCUGUCGAUAGUAAAACACGGUGGUUACCAAGGUUUCAUAGCUGCUAAAAAGACUCUACGGUUUCUUACGAUAUCGUAAUCUUUGGCAAAGAAAAAUAUCUAUGUAUCGAUCGACAAUCAAUUUAACUUUAUCUACAUACAGCGUCUCGUCUCGUUCGCUAAAUAUAGUAUACAGCCUCGUUAUUAUUUUGCUGUAGUCUCUACAGGAUUCGUCUGAAAGACGUAAACAGGAAACGAAAUACUCCAGUAGUCUGUAAGAACCAUUCAAAGAAACUCAUUACCCGAAAAGACGAGAAGAACAAGAACAGAUUGGUAUCAAAAACUCUAAUUUUAGCGGAAUCUUUCUUCGCGUUUCAUUCUAAUUAAAUCUUUCUUAAUCUUUCGCCAUGAAUUUUCCCAGCAUAUUUCCCAUAAUAUUCUCACAAAAAACUCCCGAAAAUACCAAAAAUCGUUCGUAAUACUCCGCGAACAUCCAAUGAAAGAAAUUUCGCAGAGGCACGAUUCUUCUUCUUCUUCUAAAUUAAGAAGGGCUCGUCAUGGUAGGCCGUUGUUUCCAAGCAAAAAACUCUCGAGAGGGAUUAAUCGGGAGAAUUGGAUGUUCUACGUUGAAUCGAGAGGAGAGGAACGAACAAAGAAGUCUCCACACUGCUUACGAUCUAGGACUCGUUACAUUUUUCACGAACGGCGAUAGAAUCGUAUCGAUCGAACGUAGGAUACGCCUUUAGGUAUUAUUCGUAAUUUGCCAUCGAAAAGCUUCUUUUUAAGCUAUCUGCAUCGGGCGUUCGUAUCGAUAUAUCCGUCGGUUAUUUCGCUAAAACGAUUCCGCGAUUGCGAUUGAUCAACGUCGAGAACGACGACGACGACGACGACGACGACGACGACGACGACAACGACGACGAUCCGAAUGUAUUGCACCAAAAAUUUCUUCGUGCUCUUUAUUUUUACGACGAGCGACCAUGUGUGCUUUAGUUCUUUACGAGUAAUAUCGAGAAGCGACGUGCUGGGAAUGUGAAUCUCGAGUUUACGAUUUCGUCACGGGCUUAGACAGUCCGCUGGGUCGUUUAAUGUUUAAGGAGCACGCCUUUGAACAUCUUGACGGCGACCGUAUUGACUCAAGCAAUUGCUGAAUUCCUCGCAACGUGAAAAGGAACACUAACAUUAUCCAAGUUCGAAGAUGAAUAUUGCACGACUGCGAUCGAAGGUACAUUGAAGCGAUGGGAGUCGAGCUAGAAAAGAGAGUCCCUGAGCAUAGGAGGGAAACAAGUGGAAACGAUUGAACGUGCACGGGACGGGACAGCCUGUGCUUACAGUGCUUAUCAUAGCACAAAGGGUAUACCGGCGAGUGCUCGUGGUCAUCGUGAAGAAUUGCCAAUAGCC